CCCAAAAGAGCAAAGGCUGGAUUGAAUCCGCAAGGAUGUUCAGAAAAUCCGUAAACACUUUAGCACCUCUUUUUCGCACCCGCUGUUGGCAUGUCAUUCGACGAAAAUACCAUUUGGAUGAAGUUGCACCGAUAGGCUCUCAGCCGGACAUAAGUUCACCAGAAUAUCAGGAUAAUUAUGUUCGCAUGAAAGCACUUGUGGAGGAAUUAAAACAGAAUGUUGGAAGGAUUUGUGAAGGUGGCGGGCAAAAGGCCAGGGACCGACAGACCUCCCGGGGUAAGAUGCUGCCAAGAGACAGAAUCAACAACCUGUUGGACCCAGAGUCGCCUUUCCUUGAGUUGAGUCAGUUGGCGGGUUACAAUUUGUACAAGGGAGAAGAUGUCCCUGCAGGGGGGAUAAUCACUGGAAUCGGGCGAGUAUCAAAUGUGGAGUGUAUGAUCGUCACCAAUGACCCCACAGUAAAGGGAGGAUCUUACUACCCCAUCACAGUGAAAAAACAUCUGAGAGCCCAAGAGAUAGCUCAGCAAAACAACCUGCCAUGUAUUUAUCUAGUGGAUUCCGGCGGGGCUAAUCUACCUCGACAAGAUGAAGUCUUCCCAGACAGGGACCACUUUGGUCGCAUAUUUUUCAAUCAAGCCAAUAUGUCCGCUCAAGGAAUUCCGCAGGUAGCAGUAGUACUUGGCAGCUGUACUGCGGUCGGGGCCUAUGUCCCAGCCAUGUCAGAUGAGAGUAUCAUUGUCCGGAAACAGGGAACAAUAUUUUUGGCUGGUCCACCUCUAGUGAAGGCUGCCACAGGGGAGGAAGUGUCAGCAGAAGACCUUGGCGGAGCGGACUUGCAUUGUGGGAAGUCAGGUGUGACGGACUACUAUGCCCAGGACGACCAGCAUGCACUGCACCUGGCUAGGAGGGUCAUUAGAAACCUUAACUACGAAAAAUCUCCUGGGGUAACUAUUGAGACCCCUGAAGACCCUCUGUACCCAAGUGAUGAGCUGUAUGGGAUUGUAGGAGACAACCUGAAGAAAACCUUCGACAUCAGGCAGGUUAUAGCCAGGCUGGCGGAUGGUAGCCGCUUUGAUGAGUUUAAGGCAAUGUAUGGUGACACAUUGGUAACUGGAUUUGCCAGACUCUGGGGCUAUCCAGUCGGUAUCAUAGGAAACAAUGGUGUCUUAUUCUCCGAUUCCGCACUUAAGGGAACACAUUUUAUUGAAUUGUGCAGCAAAAGAGGAAUCCCUUUGAUAUUCCUGCAAAAUAUCACAGGUUUCAUGGUGGGGAGUGAGGCGGAGGCAGGUGGAAUAGCGAAGAAUGGCGCUAAGAUGGUGACUGCUGUGGCAUGUGCUAAAGUGCCCAAGUUGACCGUCAUCAUUGGCGGGUCCUAUGGUGCCGGCAACUAUGGUAUGUGUGGUCGAGCCGUACAGCCCACGUUUUCUGUACAUGUGGCCCAACUCCCGUAUAUCAGUGAUGGGGGGUGAGCAGGCUGCCAAUGUACUUGCACAGAUUACACGGGAACAACGAGCUCGUGAAGGAAAGCCGUGGACAGAAGAGGAGGAGAAGGCUUUGAAGGACCCUGUAAUAAAGAAGUAUGAGAAGGAAGGUAGUCCUUACUACGCCAGUGCUAGGUUAUGGGAUGAUGGUGUGAUUGAUCCUGCAGAUACUCGGACGGUGCUUGGAUUGAGUCUGAGCGCUGCUCUCAAUGCUCCUCGACAAGAGACAUCUUUUGGAGUGUUCCGAAUGUAAUCAGUGUAUCAUAGUUGU
rnacentral:misc_RNA from 1 species